rnacentral:rRNA from 1 species
AUAAGAAAGCAGAUCGCAUGAUCAGACUUUUAAAGGGCGGGCGUAAAGCUGUCGCUAUGGGGAUGGGCCCCCGCGGUGCAUUAGCUAGUUGGUGAGGUAAAGGGCUUACCAAGGCGAUGAUGCAUAGCCCGAGUUGAGAGACUGAUCGGGCCACAUUGGGGACUGAGACACGGGCCCAAAACUCCUACGGGGAGGCAGCAGUAGGGAAUCUUCCACAAUGGACGCAAGUCUGAUGGAGCAACGCCGCGUGAGUGAAGAAGGUUUUCGGAUCGUAAAGCUCUGUUGUUGGUGAAGAAGGAUAGAGGUAGUAACUGGCCUUUAUUUGACGGUAAUCAACCAGAAAGUCACGGCUAACUACGUGCCAGCAGCCGCGGUAAU